rnacentral:rRNA from 1 species
AACGAACGCUGGCGGCAUGCCUAACACAUGCAAGUCGAACGAGACCUUCGGGUCUAGUGGCGCACGGGUGCGUAACGCGUGGGAACCUGCCCUUAGGUUCGGAAUAACUCCCCGAAAGGGGUGCUAAUACCGGAUAAUGUCUUCGGACCAAAGAUUUAUCGCCUUUGGAUGGGCACGCGUGGGAUUAGGUAGUUGGUAGGGUAAAAGACUACCAAGGCGACGAUCCAUAGCUGGUCUGAGAGGAUGAUCAGCCACACUGGGACUGAGACACGGCCCAGACUCCUACGGGAGGCAGCAGUGGGGAAUAUUGGACAAUGGGCGAAAGCCUGAUCCAGCAAUGCCGCGUGAGUGAUGAAGGCCUUAGGGUUGUAAAGCUCUUUUAACCGGGAUGAUAAUGACAGUACCGGGACAAUAAGCCCCGGCUAACUCCGUG